GAACACGGCCAUGCUACACUGAACGCCCGAUCCCAUCCGAUCUCGGAAGCUAAGCAGGGUCGGCCCUGGUUAGUACUUGGAUGGGAGACCACCUAGGAAGACCAGGUGCUGUAGGAG
rnacentral:rRNA from 1 species